UGUUUUGUGAAUUUAUGUAUUUAUAUAAACACAUCACACAUUGUCAGUUAUUAGAGGUUUCUUAUAUGUAAAUUAUUCUAAGUAAAGUAUAAAUAUAAAAUUUAAAAUACAAAUAUAUUUAAAUAUAAAAACUUCUUUAAUAUUAGUUUUACAUUUAUAAUAUUUUGAAAUAGAUGUCCUGAAUUAUUAAAAGAAGAUUCUGAGAAAUAAUUAACCAUUUCUUGAUUCCUUAAGUUCAUCAUUAUGGGAUGGACUUGGGUUAUUGAAAUAUUUAGAGAACUUUUCCCUUACAUGUAAUGGUCCAGACUGUGCUUAUCAUCUCUCUGUCAUGAUCAGCUGCUAGAUAUUUUUGAGAUAAAAUUUACACACAGUGAAAUGCACAGCUCUUAAUUGUAUAAUCUGAUGAGUUUUGAUAAAUGUUAUAUCUGUGUUGUCAUACCCCAAUCAAAACACAGGAUACUUCUAUCAGUGGUACAAUCAUGGCUUAUUUCAGCCUCCAACUCCUGGGCUCAAAGGAUCCUUCCACCUUAUUUUUCGUAGAGACAGGUCUCCAUAUGUUGCCCAGGCUAGUCUCGAACUCCUGGGCUUGAGUGAUCCUCCUGCCUUGGUCUCCCAAAGUGCUGGAAUUACAGGCGUGAGCCACUGCUUCCAGCCCAUACAAUGUGUUCGUCCAUUUUCCUGUUGAUGGAUAUUAAGGCAGUUUCCCUUUUAUCCUGGGGUGUCCUGCGGCCAGAUAUGUCAGCCUGCUGCCAGCACGGGGGACAGAUUGCAGUCGCAUGGCACGGCCCCUUCCAGAGGCCACAUCUUUAGCAGACAGCGAAAAUGCAAAUCAGGAAAUGUGUGGCUUUGGAAAUGACUCUAUCAAUUGUCAGACUGAGAUGCUCCAAGACCGCUGGGUGACCAGUCCUUUGAUUCUGUGUGCCAGUCAGAUUUUUCUCUUGGACUUACUGAAGCUCCUUGCCACCUAGAAUUUCAUCAGCAAACUCCUCUGAUUACAGCACCUCCUACAACUUCAGAGAGGAGCGUCUCUUCAUUUCCUCAGCCCUGGAGGGCCCUAUCAACCACCUGUUCUCUAACCCAGGGUUUCUUAACUUCAGCCUGAUGGACAUUAGGGGCCAGAUAAUUAUCUGGGGGGAGCUGUCCUCUGCAUUGUAAGAUGUUUCCUAGUAUCUCUGACCUCUACCCACUAGACGCCAGUAGCAACCCCCACUCUCAAGUUGUGACAAUCAAAAAUGUCUCCAGACAUUACCAAGUGUCCUCUCAGGGACAAAAUUGCCCUGGGUAGAGGACACAGCUGUAACUGAACACAGUGUCCGAGUGCCUGGGAAGAAAAUGGUACAGUAAGCUCCAACAGUUUGGAAUACAGCCAG
rnacentral:lncRNA from 10 species